AUUUAGUAAUCAUUUAUUCAGUCAAUGCUCUGCAUUCAAAACCCUAAGAACACUUGCAUUUGAACUAGUCGGAUUCAUCAUUCCGUGUGGAGAGGGAGAACACACACUUGGGGAUGUGCAGAAUAUCUUAGUACAAGGGUUUGGAGAGCCUGUCACAGGAUGUGGGCUUUGCCCGGAUAAUUUGGGAGGGAAGACUUGCUCUGGACAGAGACCUGGGCCGCUCUGCGGCUGGGUGUCUCCACGGGGCUGCUGCACAGGGAGAUGGAGGCAGCCAGGACAAAGCUGUACGGUGAGGAAGCGCAGCAGCAGCUCCCGGGGUAGCGAGACAGGAGGAUGUUUCAUACUGUGCGGGGUGCACAGUGACCUUGCUUCAAGUGGAUAUUUUUGUGAGACUGCAGAACAGCCCAGCUUAGUUGUGAGCGGCUCGCAGUUACUGUGAGGCUGAGCUGUGAGGACAGCUGCAUCAGUUCCUGGCUGUCAGGCACUGCUUUAUUAUUUCGUUCUCAAUUAUAAGCCAGACACAGAUGAAAGGCUCAGGGUUUUAAGCAGUCAGAUGCCGUGCCAGUUAUCUAUUGCCUCUCAGCACCAAGCUCACUUGGUAACCCGGUCUCUGAUAACAGACUUGACUCAGCAUUGCCUUACAAUGAGCACAAUGUUAAGCUUUGCCAGCAGGGGGUGCUGGAGAGACGGGGCAGGAGGAUGGGCUUCUCUCUGAGAUUUGGGUGUGUCCUGUGCAGAGCUGUGCUUAUUCCGCUCCUCCUGCGAUGUUGGGUCAGUGGUGUGGAUCGUGCGGACAUCUGGAGUUCACUUCCCCAGCCACAUGCCCAGCGGGGGCCGUCUCAGGGACUGGGCUGGCAGCCACCUCCUAACACGGAUGCUGCACGCUCAGUUCUCACCUACAGCACCCCUCUCACCAGCCCCCCUGACUCGUGCCUGAGGUUUGUUUCCCACUUGCCCAGUGGCUGAGGAUCAGCUCUGGCCCAGAUGACCCACUGACCUUCUCCACCAUCCAAUGGGCUACAGCCACAUCGUCCUCAAUGAGUCCCUGCCACCUCAGAAAGAAGUAACACCUCAGCCUCUGAGCCCACCUACAACAGCUCCUUUUACACGAAAAGGAAGAGACUUCUGACCAUUACAUUUGGUGCUAAAAACAGACCCCAUGGAAAUACAGCCAUUGGGAGGAGCACAAGUCCCCGUCUGGGGAGACUUAAAAUCCCAGAAGACCUACCCUGUUCAAACAACUCAAAGACUGGCAUUAAUUAUAUCUGAAUAACAUUAAACACUCGAGAGCACCACACAUGGAGCAACAGACUAUUUGAGGCCAUGAUAAAUGGCGACUGAUGACGAAGAUGAAAGCGAAACCGCGAAGCUCGGCGUUAUUAUGCUGCUGGAAAUGUCUUUACAUUUCACGUCACCGAACAUGAGGUUUGGAAGGAACUAAGGUAGCUUCACUUAAUUACUUCUAUAUACGUUGACAAGAAUUAAAUUACUCUAUAUAUCUGGGUAGACUAAGAUCCAGGCUCAGGUAAAACACAUAAGCAUCUGGAUUUGCCAGGGGAGAAAAUGGUUCACUCCCAGUCUUGGGAAUAACUGUAUAAGGAAGGCCAGGGCAAG